GCCUGGCUAGCUCAAUCGGUAGAGCGUGAGACUCUUAUUCUUAGGUGUCAUCUCAAGGCUGUGGGUUCAAGCCCCACGUCGGGCU
rnacentral:tRNA from 2 species